rnacentral:lncRNA from 1 species
AGAGAAAACAUUAGUGAGUGUGGAGGUAAAAGGAGAGCUGAGUGAGAAGAGUGAAGAAUUCAGCAAGUCUUCCUUUUAUUGUAAAGAGAGAGAGUUGAAGAAAGCAUACUUAGGGAAGAGAGCUUUGAUUAUGUUGCAUUUUAGUUUCAAUUUUAUGAUUGAGACUAACCCUACUAAUGAAUUGCCUAGUUCUUUUUCUAAGUUAUUGCAGGAUUUUGCGAAUGUAUUUCCUGAGGAGGUGCCAUCUGGGUUGCCACCCAUU